rnacentral:lncRNA from 10 species
AAUUGUUCAGGUUUCAAGGAGCUGAACUCUGUGAGGGUUUUGAAGGUGAUAGGGCAUGGUUAUUGGUGACCUUGAGAGACAGAAAAAUUCAGAAGAGCAUAAAAGAAAGCAGAUAACUCACCUCUUCAGCUGACUCUUCCCAAGAUUCAGUGACCAUGGAAGCACUUACUGAUGUGGAGGUGCCUAUCAGUAACACUCAACGGAAGCAGCCUAGAA